rnacentral:rRNA from 1 species
CAGUAGCCGCGGGAACACGGAGGGUGCAAGCGUUAUCCGGAUUUAUUGGGUUUAAAGGGUCCGUAGGCGGAUCUGUAAGUCAGUGGUGAAAUCUCACAGCUUAACUGUGAAACUGCCAUUGAUACUGCAGGUCUUGAGUAAAUUUGAAGUGGCUGGAAUAAGUAGUGUAGCGGUGAAAUGCAUAGAUAUUACUUAGAACACCAAUUGCGAAGGCAGGUCACUAAGAUUUAACUGACGCUGAUGGACGAAAGCGUGGGGAGCGAACAGGAUUAGAUACCCGUGUAGUCCCUGUCUCUUAUAC